UACGUAGGGUGCAAGCGUUGUCCGGAUUUACUGGGCGUAAAGAGCGUGUAGGCGGCCACGCAGGUCCGUUGUGAAAACUGGAGGCUCAACCUUCAGACGUCGACGGAAACCGUGUGGCUAGAGUCCGGAAGAGGAGAGUGGAAUUCCUGGUGUAGCGGUGAAAUGCGCAGAUAUCAGGAGGAACACCGAUGGCGAAGGCAGGUCUCUGGGCUGACACUGACGCUCAUGCACGAAAGCGUGGGGAGCAAACAGG
rnacentral:rRNA from 1 species